rnacentral:lncRNA from 1 species
UUUGACCUCAUCCAAAUGAAAGCCAGCAUGUUUUGCAUCAACUAGAGUAACAACACCAUCUAACUUGACAUCAUUGAAAACCUGAUCCUCAGCAUAAAAUGUCUGAAUUAUUGGUGCAGGAUUUGCCAACCCUGGUAAGGUGGAUGUGGAAUGCAAAAGAAGCAAACAUAAUAACUUAUCAUGCUCAAGCAAAGAGGAAAACUCAGAUAUACACCAAAUGCAACAACACAAACAAAAAGUUGUUACUCUUUCUAUAAAUUUUUACAGGUGCUUUGAGAUAAUUUCCAACCUGUAGUCUCGAUUACAAUGUGGUCAAAUUUCCCUUUCUUCUUACUGACUAGCUCUGCAAUCAUCCUCACAAGAUCACCCCUUACAGUACAGCAG